rnacentral:tRNA from 1 species
GCGGGCGUGGCGAAAUUGGCACACGCGCUAGACUUAGGAUCUAGUGGGGCAACUCUUGGAGGUUCGAGUCCUCUCGCCCGCACCA